rnacentral:lncRNA from 12 species
AUGGAAAAUGUAAUUUCCCUCUCAGGGAAAAAUUAUAAAACCAGCUGGCACCAGAUCAAAGAAGAUAUAUUCAAAGUCUCCUUAAAUGGACAGGAUGGAUCGCAGACCAGAGAAGUCUGGAUUGACAACACAAACAUCCCCAGGGACAGAAUGGCCUGUCAGAAUGGGAUGGAGCAUCAAGACAUGGAGGAAAGGGAGGCUGGAGAGCUCCUCGGGAUUGAUUCAAAAUCUGGCCAAGAGACAGGAAAACAAGGCUGUCUGCCAGUUUCAGAUGUCCUGACUUCUUGCCUGGGUGGAAACACACUGGGUUGGAAUGAGAUCAUGCCGGGGAAUCUUUCCCCUGAAACCAGGAGGGAGACGUGGCCAGGUGUGCUCGCAGACUACUGCCCGGUGAAGGCCCCGGAGUCGCACAGAGACUCAGCCCAUCUCUGCUCGACCCAUGGCCCAGGGGGAGAGGAAGUUCCCAGGUGGCUGGCCCCAGACUGGCUGUGAGAGUAGCUGCAGCCCGGGUUUCAGCUCCUUCAGAAGGCCGCUGGAGCAAAGUCCACUGCUUGGUCCCUAGGAAGAGGUUCUGGGGAUUAUCUGGCAAUCUUUUUCCUCCCCUGAAGCCCUUUCACAAAACAAAAAAGGAAAGUAGUCCACCCAGCAGAUGUCCAACAGCCUGCCAGACAGUCCGGACAUACCCAUCGCAGCCUGGCCUGGCUCAUGACACACCCUGAGGAGACCUGUCCCAGGUCCCUAAGCAGGUUGAUGCUGGCUCAUAGACAGGAAUGUUCAAGAAGGAUACAGAGCAAGAGGAGCUGAGCCGGACGGAGUGCAUCAUUGUCCUGGAGCCUGCCAGGAAAGACAAAUCCCUUCCUCAGCACUACUGAGGCCACGCACCCAGGGAAAUGCCUCUGAGGACCUCAGGCAUGCACGUCACUGGCCUAAGUACAAGCAGUGCUGGACACCACUAAUAGCCAUUGAUGAGCAAACAUCCUCACAGAAAAGCAGAUAAUGCCUCAUCCCUGCCAUGGCUAAAUUGUUUUAUAACAUUCUCAUCACUAUUCUAAAAGAAUAAAAACAUUGCUAGCAUGUAAUGUCCUCA